UACAUGGGGUGCAAGCGUUACUCGGAAUUACUGGGCGUAAAGCGUGCGUAGGUGGUUUGUUAAGUCUGAUGUGAAAGCCCUGGGCUCAACCUGGGAACUGCAUUGGAAACUGGCUUACUAGAGUGCGGUAGAGGGGUGUGGAAUUCCCGGUGUAGCAGUGAAAUGCGUAGAUAUCGGGAGGAACAUCUGUGGCGAAGGCGACACCCUGGACCAGCACUGACACUGAGGCACGAAAGCGUGGGGAGCAAACAGG
rnacentral:rRNA from 1 species